ensembl:lncRNA
CGGAGUCCAGGGACAGCACCCCCGAGAAGACCGUUGGGAUCUCCGGUCCGGUGGCGGCCCGCACGAACCACUCCUGCCUGGGGUCACCUGUCCCAGUGUUUGGGGCUCCGAUUCUAGUUGCAUUGACUAGCACCUCCAGACAAUAUUAAAUCAUUGGAGGAGAUGGGUGGACUUAGGUUCUGCCUAAGACUCAGAAAACCAGCAUGUUUUACUCACGGAAAUGUUCUCUUAAGCUAUGUUAAUGCAACUGUGUAUUUGCUUGGAAAUCUGCCUUUCUUCAAGAUUCAAGUCAAUUUUUUUUAAGGAAUUUAUUUGGUCGCAAGAGGUCUUCGUUGAGGCGUGUGGAAUCUAGUUCCCUGACCACGGACUGAACCUGGGCCCCCUGCAUUGGAAGCAUAGACUCUUAACCACUGGGCCACCAGGGAAGUCCCCAUGUCAACUGUUGUAUGGCCUGGGAUGACUCACCUUGUGCCAGUGUUAUCGCAAAAUGCAUGUUGUGGGUGAGGGGCCGGGUGCCACUCUGAGUUUUCAGACAUUUCCUUUUCUCUAAUUAGCAGCUUACUAAUAGGUAUAUAACUUCUUGCUGAAAACUAGCAAGUUAAUAAAACUUUAUUACACAAAA